rnacentral:rRNA from 1 species
GCAGUCGAACGGCAGCAUGAUCUAGCUUGCUAGAUUGAUGGCGAGUGGCGAACGGGUGAGUAAUACAUCGGAACGUGCCCUGUAGUGGGGGAUAACUAGUCGAAAGAUUAGCUAAUACCGCAUACGACCUGAGGGUGAAAGUGGGGGACCGCAAGGCCUCAUGCUAUAGGAGCGGCCGAUGUCUGAUUAGCUAGUUGGUGAGGUAAAGGCUCACCAAGGCGACGAUCAGUAGCUGGUCUGAGAGGACGAUCAGCCACACUGGGACUGAGACACGGCCCAGACUCCUACGGGAGGCAGCAGUGGGGAAUUUUGGACAAUGGGGGCAACCCUGAUCCAGCAAUGCCGCGUGUGUGAAGAAGGCCUUCGGGUUGUAAAGCACUUUUGUCCGGAAAGAAAUCGCACUUACUAAUAUUAGGUGUGGAUGACGGUACCGGAAGAAUAAGGACCGGCUAACUACGUGCCAGCAGCCGCGGUAAUACGUAGGGUCCAAGCGUUAAUCGGAAUUACUGGGCGUAAAGCGUGCGCAGGCGGUUGUGCAAGACCGAUGUGAAAUCCCCGGGCUUAACCUGGGAAUUGCAUUGGUGACUGCACGGCUAGAGUGUGUCAGAGGGGGGUAGAAUUCCACGUGUAGCAGUGAAAUGCGUAGAGAUGUGGAGGAAUACCGAUGGCGAAGGCAGCCCCCUGGGAUAACACUGACGCUCAUGCACGAAAGCGUGGGGAGCAAACAGGAUUAGAUACCCUGGUAGUCCACGCCCUAAACGAUGUCAACUAGUUGUUGGGGAUUCAUUUCCUUAGUAACGUAGCUAACGCGUGAAGUUGACCGCCUGGGGAGUACGGUCGCAAGAUUAAAACUCAAAGGAAUUGACGGGGACCCGCACAAGCGGUGGAUGAUGUGGAUUAAUUCGAUGCAACGCGAAAAACCUUACCUACCCUUGACAUGCCACUAACGAAGCAGAGAUGCAUUAGGUGCUCGAAAGAGAAAGUGGACACAGGUGCUGCAUGGCUGUCGUCAGCUCGUGUCGUGAGAUGUUGGGUUAAGUCCCGCAACGAGCGCAACCCUUGUCUCUAGUUGCUACGAAAGGGCACUCUAGAGAGACUGCCGGUGACAAACCGGAGGAAGGUGGGGAUGACGUCAAGUCCUCAUGGCCCUUAUGGGUAGGGCUUCACACGUCAUACAAUGGUGCAUACAGAGGGUUGCCAAGCCGCGAGGUGGAGCUAAUCCCAGAAAAUGCAUCGUAGUCCGGAUCGUAGUCUGCAACUCGACUACGGAAGCUGGAAUCGCUAGAAUCGCGGAUCA